UACGGGAGGGGCAAGCGUUAUCCGGCAUAACUGGGCGUAAAAGAGUCCGUAGACUGUAAAAUAAGUUGCUUGUUAAAAUUUAAAGCUUAACUUUAAAAAUAGCUUGCAAUACUGUUUUACUUGAGUUCUAUGCAGAAGAGUAGAAUUUUAUACGAAAGGGUAAAAUCUGAAAAUAUAUAAAGGAAUACCAGUAGCGAAGGCGACUCUUUGGUAAAAACUGACGUUGAGGGACGAAAGUAUGGGUAGCAAACAGG
rnacentral:rRNA from 1 species